rnacentral:rRNA from 1 species
GACGAACGCUGGCGGCGUGCCUAAUACAUGCAAGUCGAGCGAACAGACGAGGUGCUUGCUCCUCUCACGUUAGCGGCGGACGGGUGAGUAACACGUGGAUAACCUACCUAUAAGAGUGGGAUAACUUCGGGAAACCGGAGCUAAUACCGCAUAAUAUAUUGAACCGCAUGGUUCAUUAGUGAAAGACGGUUUUGCUUUCACUUAUAGAUGAAUCGGCGCCGCUUUAGCUGUUGGUUAAGGAACCGGCUUACCAGGGCGACGAUGCGUAGCGGACCGGAGGGGGUGAUCGGCCACACGGGAACUGAGACACGGUCCAGACUCCUACGGGAGGCGGCGGUAGGGAAUCUUCCGAAAUGGGCGAAAGCCUGACGGAGCAACGCGGCGUGAGUGAUGAAGGUCUUCGAAUCGUAAGACUCUGUUAUUAGGGAGGAACAAAUGUGUAAGUAACUAUGCACGUCUUGACGGUACCUAACCAGAAAGCCACGGCUAACUACGUG